UGGGGAAUUUUGGACAAUGGGGGCAACCCUGAUCCAGCAAUGCCGCGUGUGUGAAGAAGGCCUUCGGGUUGUAAAGCACUUUUGUCCGGGAAGAAAUCCCCUGCCCUAAUACGGCGGGGGGAUGACGGUACCGGAAGAAUAAGCACCGGCUAACUACGUGCCAGCAGCCGCGGUAAUACGUAGGGUGCGAGCGUUAAUCGGAAUUACUGGGCGUAAAGCGUGCGCAGGCGGUGAUGUAAGACCGAUGUGAAAUCCCCGGGCUCAACCUGGGAACUGCAUUGGUGACUGCAUUGCUCGAGUAUGGCAGAGGGGGGUGGAAUUCCACGUGUAGCAGUGAAAUGCGUAGAGAUGUGGAGGAACACCGAUGGCGAAGGCAGCCCCCUGGGCCAAUACUGACGCUCAUGCACGAAAGCGUGGGGAGCAAACAGGAUUAGAUACCCUGGUAGUCCACGCCCUAAACGAUGUCAACUGGUUGUCGGGCCUUCAUUAGCUUGGUAACGUAGCUAACGCGUGAAGUUGACCGCCUGGGGGAGUACGGUCGCAAGAUUAAAACUCAAAGGAAUUGACGGGGUCAUACUGUUUCCU
rnacentral:rRNA from 1 species